rnacentral:rRNA from 1 species
CGCUGGCGGCAGGCCUAACACAUGCAAGUCGAGCGGCAGCACAGAGGAACUUGUUCCUUGGGUGGCGAGCGGCGGACGGGUGAGUAAUGCCUGGGAAAUUGCCCUGAUGUGGGGGAUAACCAUUGGAAACGAUGGCUAAUACCGCAUGAUGCCUACGGGCCAAAGAGGGGGACCUUCGGGCCUCUCGCGUCAGGAUAUGCCCAGGUGGGAUUAGCUAGUUGGUGAGGUAAUGGCUCACCAAGGCGACGAUCCCUAGCUGGUCUGAGAGGAUGAUCAGCCACACUGGAACUGAGACACGGUCCAGACUCCUACGGGAGGCAGCAGUGGGGAAUAUUGCACAAUGGGCGCAAGCCUGAUGCAGCCAUGCCGCGUGUAUGAAGAAGGCCUUCGGGUUGUAAAGUACUUUCAGUCGUGAGGAAGGUUGUAGUGUGAAUAGCACUAUGAUUUGACGUUAGCGACAGAAGAAGCACCGGCUAACUCCGUGCCAGCAGCCGCGGUAAUACGGAGGGUGCGAGCGUUAAUCGGAAUUACUGGGCGUAAAGCGCAUGCAGGUGGUUUGUUAAGUCAGAUGUGAAAGCCCUGGGCUCAACCUAGGAGUUGCAUUUGAAACUGACAAGCUAGAGUACUGUA